rnacentral:rRNA from 1 species
GACGAACGCUGGCGGCGUGCUUAACACAUGCAAGUCGAACGGAAAGGCCCUGCUUUUGUGGGGUGCUCGAGUGGCGAACGGGUGAGUAACACGUGAGUAACCUGCCCUUGACUUUGGGAUAACUUCAGGAAACUGGGGCUAAUACCGGAUAGGAGCUCCUGCUGCAUGGUGGGGGUUGGAAAGUUUCGGCGGUUGGGGAUGGACUCGCGGCUUAUCAGUUUGUUGGUGGGGUAGUGGCUUACCAAGGCUUUGACGGGUAGCCGGCCUGAGAGGGUGACCGGCCACAUUGGGACUGAGAUACGGCCCAGACUCCUACGGGAGGCAGCAGUGGGGAAUAUUGCACAAUGGGCGGAAGCCUGAUGCAGCAACGCCGCGUGCGGGAUGACGGCCUUCGGGUUGUAAACCGCUUUCGCCUGUGACGAAGCGUGAGUGACGGUAAUGGGUAAAGAAGCACCGGCUAACUACGUGCCAGCAGCCGCGGUGAUACGUAGGGUGCGAGCGUUGUCCGGAUUUAUUGGGCGUAAAGGGCUCGUAGGUGGUUGAUCGCGUCGGAAGUGUAAUCUUGGGGCUUAACCCUGAGCGUGCUUUCGAUACGGGUUGACUUGAGGAAGGUAGGGGAGAAUGGAAUUCCUGGUGGAGCGGUGGAAUGCGCAGAUAUCAGGAGGAACACCAGUGGCGAAGGCGGUUCUCUGGGCCUUUCCUGACGCUGAGGAGCGAAAGCGUGGGGAGCGAACAGGCUUAGAUACCCUGGUAGUCCACGCUGUAAACGGUGGGUACUAGGUGUGGGGUCCAUUCCACGGGUUCCGUGCCGUAGCUAACGCUUUAAGUACCCCGCCUGGGGAGUACGGCCGCAAGGCUAAAACUCAAAGGAAUUGACGGGGCCCCGCACAAGCGGCGGAGCAUGCGGAUUAAUUCGAUGCAACGCGUAGAACCUUACCUGGGUUUGACAUGGAUCGGGAGCGCUCAGAGAUGGGUGUGCCUCUUUUGGGGUCGGUUCACAGGUGGUGCAUGGCUGUCGUCAGCUCGUGUCGUGAGAUGUUGGGUUAAGUCCCGCAACGAGCGCAACCCUUGUUCACUGUUGCCAGCACGUUAUGGUGGGGACUCAGUGGAGACCGCCGGGGUCAACUCGGAGGAAGGUGGGGAUGACGUCAAGUCAUCAUGCCCCUUAUGUCCAGGGCUUCACGCAUGCUACAAUGGCUGGUACAGAGAGUGGCGAGCCUGUGAGGGUGAGCGAAUCUCGGAAAGCCGGUCUCAGUUCGGAUUGGGGUCUGCAACUCGACCUCAUGAAGUCGGAGUCGCUAGUAAUCGCAGAUCAGCAACGCUGCGGUGAAUACGUUCCCGGG